GAAGGCCUUCGGGUUGUAAGGCACAUUAGGUAAGGAAGAAAAGUUAUUGGUUAAUACCCAAUGACCAUGACAUUACUUACAGAAUAAGGACCGGCUAACUCCGUGCCAGCAGCCGCGGUAAUACGGAGGGUCCAAUCGUUAAUCGGAAUUACUGGGCGUAAAGCGCGCGUAGGCGGUUUGACAAGUUGGGUGUGAAAUCCCCGGGCUUAACCUGGGAACUGCAUUCAAAACUUUUAAACUGGAGUACGGGAGAGGAGAGUAGAAUUCAUGGUGUAGCGGUGAAAUGCGUAGAUAUUAUGAGGAAUACCAAUGGCGAAGGCAACUCUCUGGACCGUAACUGACGCUGAGGUGCGAAAGCGUGGGUAGCAAACAGGAUUAGAUACCCUGGUAGUCCACGCCGUAAACGAUGACAACUAGCCGUUGGACUUUCGAGUUCAGUGGCACAGCUAACGCAU
rnacentral:rRNA from 1 species